AUGACUUGUAGUCACAGCUUUUCAUCAUUCUGUUGUAACAGAAUUCAGCCAUUGUGGGCCGAGGCAGAUUCCCCCAUGAAUGUUUGCCUUGCUCAAACAUACUCUUCUUUUUCAUCAAUAGUUGCCUGGUCAUAUUAUCCUCUCUUUUCUCCGCCCGAUUCUUCGAACAUAUCGAAUGGUCCCUGCACAGCAAAAGUAUCAGGAAAAAGUUGUACUAUCAUGUCGACGGUUUGCAAAAAAGAAAACCAGCGUGCAGUUUGCUGGACCGUCUACCUAAGCUACUGGUUGGUAUGGCUAGGGAUGGCAAUGGGUACCCAUUACCCACGUACCCUGCGGGUAAAAACCCUAUUAGGGUAA
rnacentral:rRNA from 1 species